rnacentral:snRNA from 1 species
UUAGAUUCUCGACCUUUUGGCUAAGAUCAAGUGUAGUAUCUGUUCUUAUCAGUUUAAUAUCUGAUACGUCCUCUAUUUGAGGACUAUAGUAGUAAAAUGGGGGUGGUGUUAUUUAUU